rnacentral:rRNA from 1 species
GACGAACGCUGGCGGCGUGCCUAAUACAUGCAAGUAGAACGCUGAAGCUUGGUUCUUGCCCCGAGCGGAUGAGUUGCGCACGGGUGAGUAACGCGUAGGUAACCUGCCUGGUAGCGGGGGAUAACUAUUGGAAACGAUAGCUAAUACCGCAUAAGAGUAGCUGUUGCAUUACAUUUUCUUAAAAUGUGCAAUUGCAUCACUACCAGAUGGCCCUGCGUUGUAUUAGCUAGUUGGUGAGGUAACGGCUCACCAAGGCAACGAUACAUAGCCGACCUGAGAGGGUGAUCGGCCACACUGGGACGGAGACACGGCCCAGACUCCUGCGGGAGGCAGCAGUAGGGAAUCUUCGGCAAUGGACGGAAGUCUGACCGAGCAACGCCGCGUGAGUGAAGAAGGUUUUCGGAUCGUAAAGCUCUGUUGUAAGAGAAGAACGAGUGUGAGAGUGGAAAGUUCACACUGUGACGGUAUCUUACCAGAAAGGGACGGCUAACUACGU